rnacentral:lncRNA from 1 species
GGGGAUGAAAGAGAAAACGCGCUUACUGCUUGGGGAGAACCAAUAAUGCUCCAUACUUAGGGCUUACUACUUUCGAACCAUUGUUGAUAUUCCUUUUAAAUGAAAUUGAUUGUUUAAAAUUCAUGCUUUUAUAUGUUUAAGAAAAAUGAUUUUGAUUUAAAAAAUUUAAUUUCAAAAAUGAUCAUAAUAAAAUUUAAAUCUAUUUGGCUGAAAUAAAUAAGAGUAUAAGCAAUUGGA